CGCUUUUUAGUUUAAUGGGAAAACGUACGACUGGAAAUUGUAAUUACCUGGUUCGAUUCCGGGGAAAGUAA